rnacentral:rRNA from 1 species
GACGAACGCUGGCGGCGUGCUUAACACAUGCAAGUCGAACGGAAAGGCCCUGCUUUUGUGGGGUGCUCGAGUGGCGAACGGGUGAGUAACACGUGAGUAACAUGCCCUUGACUUUGGGAUAACUUCAGGAAACUGGGGCUAAUACCGGAUAGGAGCUCCUGCUGCAUGGUGGGGGAUGGAAAGUUUCGGCGGUUGGGGAUGGACUCGCGGCUUAUCAGCUUGUUGGGGGGGUAGUGGCUUACCAAGGCUUUGACGGGUAGCCGGCCUGAGAGGGUGACCGGCCACAUUGGGACUGAGAUACGGACCAGACUCCUACGGUAGGCAGCAGUGGGGAAUAUUGCACAAUGGGCGGAAGCCUGAUGCAGCAACGCCGCGUGCGGGAUGACGGCCUUCGGGUUGUAAACCGCUUUCGCCUGUGACGAAGCGUGAGUGACGGUAAUGGGUAAAGAAGCACCGGCUAACUACGUG